rnacentral:rRNA from 1 species
CACUUCCGGGUGGCAGCAGUGCGGAAUAUUGUACAAUGGGCGCAAGCCUGAUCUAGCAAAGCGGCGUGUGUGAAGAAAGCCUUCUGGUUGUAAAGCACUUUUAUGUCGAGAGAGAUCUGCAGGGCUAAAACCCAUGCAGUCUUUGGGUACCACAGGAAUAAAAGCACGGGCUAAUUUCGUGCCAGCAGCCGCGGUAAUACGGGGUGUGCGAGCGUUAUUCGGAAUCACUGGGUAAAAAGUGUGCGCAGGCGGUUAUGUAAGUCAGGUGGUGAAAUCCGGGGGCUCAACCUGGGAACUGGUGGAGUGUGGGGAAGAGAGAGUGGUAGAGAGUAGUGUGGAAUUCGGUGUAGAGCAGUGAAAUUAGAGAUAUGGGGAGGAACCCCGACGGAGAAAGCAGCCCUGGACCAGCACUCUCACGGUGUCGCGAAAAAGUGGGGAGCAAACACGAGAUUAGAUCCCGGUAGUCCACGCCCUAAAAGCAAGAACAGGAGAUGAGGGCAACUAGCACUCAGUAUCGAAGCUAACG